AAGUCGGUGGUUCAGUGGUAGAAUACUCGCCUGCCACGCGGGUGGCCCGGGUUCGAUUCCCGGCCGACGCCUA